rnacentral:rRNA from 1 species
GAUGAACGCUGGCGGCGUGCCUAAUACAUGCAAGUCGAGCGAAGCGGGGACGGGUGAGUAACACGUGGAGAACAUCCUAUAAGACGGGGAUAACUUCGGGAAACCGGAGCUAAACCGGAUACUUAGAGAAGGAUCCGCGCUGCAUUAGCUAGUUGGUAAGGUAACGGCUUACAAAGGCAACGAUGCAUAGCCGACCUGAGAGGGUGAUCGGCCACACUGGAACUGAGACACGGUCCAGACUCCUACGGGAGGCAGCAGUAGGGAAUCUUCCGCAAUGGGCGAAAGCCUGACGGAGCAACGCCGCGUGAGUGAUGAAGGUCUUCGGAUCGUAAAACUCUGUUAUUAGGGAAGCGGUACCUAAUCAGAAAGCCACGGCUAACUCCGUGCCAGCCGCCGCGGUAAUUC